ACCAGUACCGGCCUGGAGACACCGCGCACGUGGGACCACGCCGGUACCAGCACUGGCCCGGAGACACCGUGCACGUGGGACCACGCCGGUACUGGUCCAGAGACACCGUGCACAUGGGACCACGCCAGUACUGGUCCAGAGACACCGUGCACGUGGGACCACGCCAGUACCGGUACCAGCCCGGAGAUACCAUGUACUUGGGACCACACCGGUACCGGCCCGGAGACGCCGCGUACGUGGGAUCACGCCGGUACCGGCCUGGAGACACUGGGCACGUGGGACCACACCGGUAGUGACCCGGAGACACCGCGCACAUGGGACUACACCAAGACCGGUACCGGCCCGGAGACACUGAACGUGCGGGGACUGUGCCGGUGCUGGCACCGGCCUGGCAACACCGCGCUCGUGGCACCACGCCGGUGCCGGUUCCCGGGGCCGGGAGCUGCCCCCGGGACAGCAGGGACUGUGGGAAGCCUGGCCUCAGGGCGGUGGUUUUGGAUUAAAAGUUGCCAGAAAAAGGGCUAAAACACCGGGGUGCUGCCUGCUGCCUGCCCGUUGCUUUCUGGGAUUCCAUAGAUAAACUGGUUAUUUAUUGAUUACAGCGAUUAAGGUGGAAUCAGGGACUUUCCCAAGUGUUUUUUCCUUUCUUUUUGGAUGAGGGUUUCAAGGAUCACUCCCUCACCGGCAUAGCCAGCCCUCCACCUUUAAAGGCAGGCGUUUGUGGUCGCUCCCGGCUGGAAAUCUUUCACAACACCACCACCAGAGAGAUGGCAAAGGCAUUACAGGAGCCAAAAUCCCC
rnacentral:lncRNA from 12 species